rnacentral:rRNA from 1 species
UACGUAGGCCGCAAGCGUUGUUCGGAAUUACUGGGCGUAAAGAGUGUGUAGGCGGUGCUCUAAGUCUGUUGUGAAAUCUCCCGGCUUAACUGGGAGGGUGCGGCGGAGACUGGAGUGCUAGAGUGUGGGAGAGGUAAGCGGAAUUCCUGGUGUAGCGGUGAAAUGCGUAGAUAUCAGGAGGAACACCUGUGGUGUAGACAGCUUACUGGACCACGACUGACGCUGAGACACGAAAGCGUGGGUAGCGAACAGG